GUUUACACCAAAAUAUUCGUGCGUACAAGCUGUCGGGCAUAUGGUUCCAUGCGAAGCGAGAGGGAGGAGUUUAAUUAAGCAGGUGUGUGUUUGCCUAUAGAGUGGUGUUUUGCAUAGCUGUUGAACCUCACUGCUUCUGACACUAAGACUGCAGCGUUAUCAUCGUUGGGUUCAGUCUGUUCAAUCUUCUUAGAGCCACAGAUGAUGCUGAUGCAGAUUACGAAGAUAAUAUCACUGAUUCCACUGCUGAUUAUGCUGGGGUUCCUCCAGACUCAGGAGUCAUCUGCACAACGUGUCCUGAAUGAAGAUAAUUAAUCAACGUCUGUUCGUCUGGGAGAGAGUGUGUCUAUCAGUGCUGUUGCAAGUUCAACUGGUGUUGAUGAUGACAUGAACUGGUACCUGCUGAAACCUGGACAGGCUCCUAAACUCCUCAUCUAUAAAGUAAAAACCCUUCAGUCUG